AAAUCCAAGGACCAUUCCUGAAACCGAAACCAAAUCGAAAGCCGAAGCAGUGAUCCAACCUAAAGAAACCAAGCAGGAAGUUAUUAUGCAGCCGGAGACAACAAAACAAGAAACAAAGUCUGAAUCCAAGCCGGAGACACCUGAACCAGAAACAAAGUCUGAAUCCAAGCCAAAGACAUCAGAACCAGAAACAAAGUCUGAAUCCAAGCCGGAGACACCAAAACCAGAAACAAAGGAUGAAACCAAGCCGGAUACGAAACCUGAACCUAAGAAGCCUAAACACAUGAAGAGAGUGUCGAGUGCAGGGCUCAGGACUGAGUCAGUGUUGCAGAGGAAAACUGAAAACUUUAAAGAGUUCUAUUCAUUGG
rnacentral:lncRNA from 1 species